CAAACUGAACCGAGCUCGAGCUUCAUAAAAACAUGACGAGCCGAGCUCGAGCACAGUUGAGCUCGGGUUCGGCUCGGCUCGUUUACAUCUCUAGGCCGGUGGCAUUACUUGUGCAUGACAUUAGACCUGGCAAACGGGUCGGGUUGGGUCAUGGGUCAAAACGGGUUCGGGUCAAAACGGGUCAUGGUCAAAACGGGUCAGUUAAAAAAUGGGUUGUUUUGGUUCGGGUCAGAGCGGGUUCGGGUCAAAACGGGUCCGGGUCAGAACAGGUUUCGGGUCGGUUCGGGUCGGAUAGAAAAUGCUUUUCAGCACUUUGGAUCAAAUUGGUCACAGAUUUUAAAAUGCUGUUCAGUGUUCUAGGUUGUUGACUUUACAAAAAAUCAAAUAUAAUAUUAUCAAUGGUAUCAAUUAUGAAAUGAACAGAACCUUCAGUCGCCGAAAUUUGUCGUUUUGCGCAGAAUCGAGUCAUUUACACUGCAUUUACACUUGCAGAAUCGACACUUUUCCGCAGAAUCUGUUCGACGGAUCCGUUUCGCUGAUUUUUUGUUCAAGGUUUGUUUGAUCGAAAACAGCGAUAAGGGAUCGACGUGUACCGUUUCGACGCGUACCGUUUUGACCCGUACUGUUACGGAUCAGUUCUGUUUGAAUUGUUUUGAGUCUGAACAGAACCUUCAGUCGCCGAAAUUUGUCUAGUAGUGGUAUGCGAGGUAGCUCAGGCAGCUACUUAUGUUGUCGGCGAUGACAAUGGCUGGACGUUUAACUAUCUAUGACAAGUUUUCGAUAUAGCAGCUGCUAUCACCAACACAAAAACACCUCGGUUUAACAUUCCUAUGUUAGUGAUGGAGAUUUAUGGCUGGUUAUCUGUGCUAUUCGCCAGAAUACCUGGAAAACUUACACUUAUUAGCCCUCCGUUGCAUUGUGCCACUGAAGAAAUCGGAGGGUACCAAAUUGACCAGCUCGGAGGGUAGUACUAAAUUGGCCAGCUUUAGCAUGUGUUAUGCAGCUCAACUCUAUGGUCUGCUAUGUAUCUUGAGGAUUAUUUGGAGCUAUGUUAAUUCUGUUGUGUUUGCAGAUUGUUUCAUUUGUACAUGUAUUACCCAAUAAAAGUUAGUUCGCUAUAUUUGUCCCUUCCAGAUAUUAAUUCAUCACAUUUUGUCGUGUUUGACUCAUUUCAGUUUAAAA